GACAGAGGUGCCAAGCGUUAGGCGGAAUCACUGGGCUUAAAGCGUGUGUAGGCGGCUCGGUAAGUCCGCUGUGAAAGUCCAGGGCUCAACCCUGGAAUGCCAGUGGAAACUGUCGAGCUAGAGUCCGGAAGAGGCGAGUGGAAUUCCUGGUGUAGCGGUGAAAUGCGCAGAUAUCAGGAGGAACACCAAUGGCGAAGGCAGCUCGCUGGGACGGUACUGACGCUGAGACGCGAAAGCGUGGGGAGCAAACAGG
rnacentral:rRNA from 1 species